rnacentral:lncRNA from 8 species
UGCAUUGAAUCCCGGCAAAACUAUUUAGCUCCGGCUGUGAAUAUAUUCUCAGAGAUCAUCCUUUCAGAAGCACCGGAGGAGGAGGAGACUGAGGAACCAUCUGCUGAACCAGAGCUGACAAUAGAGGAAGCUCUGGAAGAGAAGGUAGUGGAGGAAGGGACAGCAGAGCCCAAACCCGAGGAGGUAGAACCUGCAGCCGAAGAACUGAAGGUCAAGCAAGCUGCUCCUCCUGCAGAACAAGAGCCCCCUAAAAAGGAACCAGUAGUGAGAGCUAAGAGAGAGCGUGACAUGUGCAGGCCAGUUGAGAAGCCAAAAAGGAGAGAGGCUGCAAGGAAAUUGGAAUUAGAAGCGGCGAUCAGGAAGAGAGAACUAAGACUUAAAAAGGAAGCGAAGGCCACAAAGGAAGAGUCUCAACAUGUAGAUGCUGGGGUGCCUGCACCUGCACCUGCGCCAGGUACAUUUGUAGAGAUAAAACAUUUCGAUACGGUAGCGCUGUGUCAUCUUAGGACACAUUGCAGCAGUACAAGACGACAUGCAAGAAUGAGAGAGAACAUACAGUAGAUACGAAUUGGACCACCUUUUGAGCAUGUCGUUUUUUCUAACAUAUACUUUAAUAAAGCGUUCCUUCAAGCAACAGGUUCUUGAAUACAUGAAACAUAUCAUAACGUAUGUAGGUUCUGUAUGAAUGUGCGUUGUUGUAUGUUGCAGUUCCCGCCUGUCAACCCACACCAGUCUACUGGCCAUCAUCAUCUCCUGGCUGGUACUGUAAGUAUACACUAAUGCUCUAAAGCACCUGAAUAUACUGUACAAUAUCAGUGGUGUUUGUUUUUCUGUAUACUGCAUGUCACCCUUCUAUUGCAGUAUAAUACAGUCCUGUACAUGUCCAGUGUAAUAUAUCCUUCUCAAACUUGACUGAAAAUGUGUUGAUUCUAUUUAUCUUCCAGUGCAUCAUAUAUUCACAGACAAUCCAUUUCCACCUACACCCAUGACAGGUAUUUGGUAUUAUUUUAAUUCUUGCCCAUCAGGCAUUUAAUGUCAACAUUAACAAUAUUUAAAUGUGCCUGACAUUUUGUUUUGCAGAGCUCUGUGUUGUUAUUUGGGCGAGGAGUUUCUCCUGACCAUAUGACUAGACCAGGAAAACUUCCAGGCCCUAGUUACUAGGGCUGAGAGUUAUUUGCUUCAUAGCCUCUGUUUACUGUAUGUCCUUACGUCCUUAUGUCUGGUGCUUCUCACCUCAAAGAUCUUGUGAUUACAAAAAAUACAUGUAAAAGCCCUUUAUUAUUUUCAAUUACAUUCUGUCACAUGAAUUAGUUUUCGUGCACCAUAUUUUAUAACUUCA